UUCUGAAGGAGAACUUACGCCUCACCGCUGUCUACCGCAUCUCUGAAACCAGUGCAUCCCUACUAGCAAAACUCUGGUUGACAUUGAUCUUGCUAGCAUUCGAUCUUCCUCCUUCACUACCAUAUGUCCCUUUGAAAUCUUCAAAACCUAUAUCGUCAUUUUAUUCCUCAUCCUCAUCUUUAACCUUUCCAUACUCAUUGUAACCCUCAACAUCAUCAACCGCUUCAGCAACAACAGGGAUAUCAACAUCCUCCACCGCACCAUCCUCCUCCCCAUCAUCCUCCUCCCCAUCAUGAUUUUCAUCUUCAGCCAUAUCAUCAUCUUCUUCAUCCCCUUUAUC
rnacentral:lncRNA from 1 species